rnacentral:rRNA from 1 species
AGCGGCAAAAGCUCAAAUUUGAAAUCUGGCACCUUCGGUGUCCGAGUUGUAAUUUGAAGAUUGUAACCUUGGGGUUGGCUCUUGUCUAUGUUUCUUGGAACAGGACGUCACAGAGGGUGAGAAUCCCGUGCGAUGAGAUGCCCAAUCCUAUGUAAGGUGCUUUCGAAGAGUCGAGUUGUUUGGGAAUGCAGCUCUAAGUGGGUGGUAAAUUCCAUCUAAAGCUAAAUAUUGGCGAGAGACCGAUAGCGAACAAGUACAGUGAUGGAAAGAUGAAAAGAACUUUGAAAAGAGAGUGAAAAAGUACGUGAAAUUGUUGAAAGGGAAGGGUUUGAGAUCAGACUCGAUAUUUUGUGAGCCUUGCCUUCGUGGCGGGGUGACCCGCAGCUUAUCGGGCCAGCAUCGGUUUGGGCGGUAGGAUAAUGGCGUAGGAAUGUGACUUUGCUUCGGUGAAGUGUUAUAGCCUGCGUUGAUGCUGCCUGCCUAGACCGAGGACUGCGAUUUUAUCAAGGAUGCUGGCAUAAUGAUCCCAAACCGCCCGUCU